UUAGUGGCGAACGGGUGAGUAACGCGUAGACAACCUGCCUUCUAGAUGGGGACAACGUUCCGAAAGGAACGCUAAUACCGAAUGUCCUAUCGAAUCCGCAUGGAAAUGAUAGCAAAGGUGGCCUCUUAACAAUGCUACCGCUAGAAGAUGGGUCUGCGUCUGAUUAGCUAGUUGGUGAGGUAACGGCUCACCAAGGUGACGAUCAGUAGCCGGUCUGAGAGGAUGAACGGCCACACUGGGACUGAGACACGGCCCAGACUCCUACGGGAGGCAGCAGUGGGGAAUCUUCCGCAAUGGACGAAAGUCUGACGGAGCAACGCCGCGUGAGUGAAGAAGGUUUUCGGAUCGUAAAGCUCUGUUUUCAGGGACGAACGGCAGAAAUAUGAAUAAUAUAUCUGCAUGACGGUACCUGAGGAGGAAGCCACGGCUAACUACGUGCCAGCAGCCGCGGUAAUACGUAGUGGCAAGCGUUGUCCGGAAUUAUUGGGCGUAAAAGGGCGUGUAGCGGGAUAAUAAGUCUGUUGUAAAAGUGCGGGGCUCACCCCGUACGUCAAUGGAAACUGUUAUUCUUGAUGCAGGAGAGGAAAGUGGAGUCCAGUGUAGCGGGUGAAAUGCGUAGAUAUUUG
rnacentral:rRNA from 1 species